UACGUAGGGUGCGAGCGUUGUCCGGAAUUAUUGGGCGUAAAGGGCUCGUAGGCGGUUUGUCGCGUCGGGAGUGAAAUCCACUGGCUUAACUGGUGGCUUGCUUUCGAUACGGGCAGACUGGAGGUAUGCAGGGGAGAACGGAAUUCCUGGUGUAGCGGUGAAAUGCGCAGAUAUCAGGAGGAACACCGGUGGCGAAGGCGGUCUCUGGGCAUGUCCUGACGCUGAGGAGCGAAAGUGUGGGGGAGCGAACAGG
rnacentral:rRNA from 1 species